UAGAGAUUAGCAUAGAAAGAAAAAGCAAUAAAGAGAUAGGAGAUUUUUUUUUAAAGAUAACAAAAUGAACCUUCUAUAUUGAGAACCAUCAUCUAGAGGCAAUUUCAUUAGGUUCACUUCUUACCUUAUUCUUUAUUCUCUAUUUUCUUUUGUUAGUUCAUUGCCAUAUUUUCAUUUUUUCAUGAUGUAACAUUAUUUGCAGUAAAAUGCCCUUUUGUUUUAUUAUUCAUUAACUCAAAGCCUGAAUCCUAACAUGGGCCAAAAAGAAGUGAGGUUUUAACUCCAUAGGCAGUGUCGCCUUCACGUCAUCGUGUGGCUCGAUCACACCAUGCUUGGUCGUCGGCUCACAACCAGACCGUUAAGCAAACCCCAUUUGGUCUCAGCGGCAUGUCACAGUGUUUCCGACAUGAUGCCUUGGCCCUCAAGGUCAGUCCCGACGGCAACACACGAACUCUGUUUGGGCUAUCUCGGCCAGCUCCGCCUCACCGCGGUGAUACCUUACUCCCAGCGGGAUGUCUUUUCCCCUUCUCUAGCACCGACUUUGCCAUAAAAAAGGAACCUGGACCUUCAGUCCAGGUGGGGAAGACGACCCCCAUCCUUUAUAUUUUUUACAUUUCUAUUCUCUUUUUUUCAUUUUAUUUAUUUAUUUUAAUUCUUAUUGUUUUAUUUAUUUAUUCAGCAUAUAUUAUUUGUUUAUUUUUUGUCAUGUACUAAUUAUCUUGUUUCAUACUAUGAGUAAUCUUAUUUUCAUUUGGG
rnacentral:lncRNA from 1 species